UUCAGGGUGUAAAGAUCUGUGGUAAAUCACAUAGUUUAUUUCUGGACAGACAAAAAGGGGUUUGCAAAUGUGGAUAGCAGAGGAGGACUGGUUGGACUGAUGUUGAACUCAGGGUUGUGUUUACAUGGUGCUACUUCAGCAGAUCAAGAAGACAGCGGAGAGUGUGGUUACCUCUGCUGCCAGCCAGAUGUAUUCACUUUUAUAAAAAGAAAAAAAGCUUUUCUGUUUUCGGGAUGGAAAUGAUGAACUGAACAGCAACAGAGGACUUCAGUGAUCAGCAGCUGAAGUGUCGGAGACCUCAGAAACCACGUCACCCACGAUUCCUGUGAUGCGAAUCAUGAUUUCUGUGUGAUUUCUCCCUCUUUGGUUUUCUGUUUUGAUCUCUUCAUUCUCCUUAAUCUUCACUCUUCUACUUCUACUCCGUUUCUCUCUCUGUCCAUAUUAUAUUGGACUGCUAACUUUUUUAUUUUCAAAUUGAGCGUAAGGGUUAGUAGUAGCAGUCAGUAGCUUGUGUUGCUGCUGUAAGUGUGCUACGAUAGUUUGUUCUAACUGUAACUUUUAAAGAUAGGGUGUCUCUUGGAGUUGGAACCGGUCAGCUUGACAGCGAGCCUGUUAGUGAUAACACUAGCAUAGCCUUGUUGGCCCAGAGCCUGGUCUUCAGUCCCCCCUUCUGCUCAGCCCUGUUGGUAGUUCUGUUGGCCUGCGCGCUUCUUCCACAUUCGCCAACAGGGUUUAACAAUGCACAGCGUUAGUCAUGGAGACUCAAUUAUCAGCUACAUUUGAUCAGCAUCACCAGCCACUGUUUACUGCAGAGUUUCCAACAUUGAGGCUAAUCUGACGGUGUUGACAGGGGGAGAAUCAGGGAACCCAGGCACAUGCCACCACCAACUUUAGCAUCAUCGUAAUCCAGGUCGGCAUUAAUAAGAUGAAUAUGAAGCACUCAGAGAUUACAAAACAAAGCCUAGCCAGGAUGUUGAAUCAGCAUCGAUUCAUUGAUUCUGGUCCUUUACCCAUGAGGGUUAAUAAUGAAAAGUACAGUAGGCUUACUACACCGAACUGCUGGCUGGCUCAUUACUAUAGUGAGCAGCAGUGGGUGUUUGUACAAGUAUUUUCUCGUUUUCAGAUCUCCUUUGAGCAGUUAUGAGCUGCGGUAUCAGAAGCUCUAAUCGAUCUGAAAUCUCUUCUAUCUGUUCAAUUUCUGUGUCACAGACAUUACCUCACCGAUCGGCUGUGAUGUCAUCCCAUCCCUCUCCCUCCCUGAGGUCUUUUCUCCCUCUCGCUCGAUCUGACUCUCGUCGUCUUUUUCCUUCUCUAUUUGGCUCUGUCUCUCAUCGCACCUCUGCUUCUCCUUCCUCCUCCGUCUCUCUCUCUCCAUCGUCUUUCUGUCUGUCUCCCUCCCCCAGUGGUUACAGUGCAGCAGCAGAAACAGAGCACACACAUUUUAAGAUACGUGCCUGCAAGUCUGUAUACAGCAUAUUCAUACAAAUGCAGUAUGCGUGCAUAUGGAAACACAUACUGAAAUUUACAUGCACAAAGACACAAGUGCACAUGCAAAAAUAUGCACACGGACUCACACAUUGUUACUUAAAGUCAUCUAUUCUACAGAGCAGCUACCUUAACUGUUCAUUCAGAAUAAAUGUGAUGGAUGAGGCAGCGUGAAGGUGUAGAAAGUCAGCAAGGGCAUCAUUUUCAUUUCAAUUUGGGGAGACAUCUAACAGUCUUUGCCAAUGAGUGUGAAGUGUCCUAAUGGGAUACGAUUACAGUGUGAAAUACACUGAAUAGUGUCACUUAACGUGACAUGCUGAGGUGAACAGUAUGUUGAGAAACACAAGAUACAGUAGCUAUGAUUCUGAUUGACAUACAGUUAAUAAAAAAUAAAAUCUACAUUUGUGUUAGCGUACUUUAAGAAUGAAGGUUUCUUGUUUGUAUGAGUUGUACUGUAAUGUAAUGUAAUGCAGUCUAAUAUAUUUGUUGUACAAGAAAAAUGCAAAGAUACAGAUUCACAGCCUCUUUGUUACUUUACGAGCUACAUCAGCUCUCAUCCCGAAGAAUAAAUUAGAGAUGAAUUCAGAUAAAAACAUCAACUGGAUCAGAAUCAGUCCGUCAUGUUUACCAGAGUCAUGAUGUUAAAAAUGACUCUACAUUACAAAUGCAUUACUUUAGUCUGCACGCUGUCAUUUGGACUUUAUUCAGAAAUUCUUCAAAUAUUUGACUCUCCACAGUAGAAGAUAAUAUGUCCGGUUGCAGUUGCACCUUUGCUUCGUCACACCACUGUGGCCGUACCAAUGUCCAGAUGUGGAAGAGUCUGUUUUCCAGCUGGCAGAUUUCCGGUAAAGCUCUGUGGCAUUUAUUGUGUAUGUUUCAUGAGCCUAAAGAAUACAUUUGCAGUUAAUUUAGUUGCUGUACAUAGCAUUGCAUGGUCUAUCUUUACAGCUGUAGCAUUUAAACAAGAAAAACAUCAAUAACAAAUACAUUGUUAAAUACAACUUUCAUGUUAAUUGUUAAUAAAUACAGACAUUUAUAUACAUUCCCAUCUGAAUCAAAGUUUCACAGUUGAGAGGUUGGCAAGCUAAAAUAGACCCAGCUCAUAAAGCAGAGAGAAGGGGCGCUCCAUUCAUGCAUCCAUUGGUAAUUGGCACACUGAGUAGAAGGGCGAUGUCAGCAGAUGUUCCUCAGCAGCUGCACCUGAACAUGACACAGCCUAGUCUUGUAGACACUGAGGCUAGAACAGGGACACAAAAACCAAAGCCAGUAUCUAGUGACCAUUAGAAGGUUUGCAUCAGCACUAUCAGCUUGUUUUUAAAUUGUUUUUUCUUUUACUUUAGUCUGAAGUCUGCUGUUGCGACUACAUAUGCCUCUUGAUCUUUCAGCAUCAUUACACUCUCACUGUUUGCUGUCUGUAUGGGUAUUUGUGUGGCUGAAUGUCUUGUCUUGAAUGUCUGUCUGAGGUGCUCAGUUCAGCUGUGCGUCUGUGUGUGUUUGCUCUCUUAAAGACAACUGGAUACAAUGAUUUUACAUAGCGGUGGAUUCAAAUGUCACCCCACCUAGAAGCUUUAUCUCUCUGCCUCAUUAUUUUUUAUUUGGGUGUAACAUUGUGUGUUUUAGCUUAUAUUUCUGCGCUAUGAUUCACUGAACAUUUGUGUG